CUACGGGAGGCUGCAGUGGGGAAUAUUGCACAAUGGAGGAAACUCUGAUGCAGCAACGCCGCGUGGAGGAUGACACUUUUCGGAGCGUAAACUCCUUUUAUAUAGGAAGAAGAUGACGGUACUAUAUGAAUAAGCGCCGGCUAACUCCGUGCCAGCAGCCGCGGUAAUACGGAGGGCGCAAGCGUUACUCGGAAUCACUGGGCGUAAAGAGCGUGUAGGCGGAUUAAAAAGUCAGAAGUGAAAUCCUAUAGCUUAACUAUAGAACUGCUUCUGAAACUCUUAAUCUAGAAUGUGGGAGAGGUAGAUGGAAUUUCUGGUGUAGGGGUAAAAUCCGUAGAGAUCAGAAGGAAUACCGAUUGCGAAGGCGAUCCACUAGAACAUUAUUGACGCUGAGACGCGAAAGCGUGGGGAGCAAACAGGAUUAGAUACCCGCGUAGUC
rnacentral:rRNA from 1 species